CUGAGUGAUUACGGGGAACUUUACUGCACUACACUUCUCUCUAUAAUUUUCCUUGUGGAUUGACUUUCAUCUGUUGUUAGCUGACAUUGCAUUAUGAUAUAAUAAGGACAUCACUGGUCUAAGCUGCUGGCGAACCUUCAGAAGUAUUUACGGGAUGCCUAAAGUGUAACUUGUUAAGCAAGCUUUGGCCUGUCUAGGAAGACGGAUCUCAUCCAAAACGCUUUACGAACGAGGGAAACCCCCAACUGUGAAAUGGAAUUCAUUAAAUCACGAUGUCGUCAAUAGCAUUCUACUCGUACAUUACCUCUUCUGCAUAUGUCACUACUGUGAGCAUCGUAUAUAUGUGAUAGAUGGACAGAGGACAAACUUUAAGUUUGAGAGGUUUGGAGUUGCGACCCUCCUCUGUAUGUAUAAUAUAUGUAAUAUAAACAGAGCAGCAAAAUAUUUAGAAGCUUUUCUUUUUAAAUAAAAUAUGGUGAUGAUGAAAUAUUUUUGGAACACUACAUAAAAGGUUAUAGUGCGAUGUUCGUAACUGGAUAUUUGUAAAUUUUACGGUUAUAUAUGAUAAAAUUCCUACAUUCCUUUAAGUUAGUUAAAUGUUUUUUGUA